GCCGGAUGUAAUGGCGCAUGCCUGUAAUCCCAGCAACUCGGGAGGCUGAGGCAGGAGGAUCACAAGUUCAAAGCCAGCCUCAGCAACUUAGCAAGUCUCUAAGCAACUCAGUGAGACUCUGUCUCUA
rnacentral:sRNA from 1 species